UUUGAAAAUGGAUGAAUUGAUUUCCUUCCCUUAAUGUGCAAAUUAUCUGAGACAUGAACUUUAUUGGAAAGUGGCCAAAAUUUAAGAUGUAUCAAAAUGUCGCAUCAGUCAGGUGGAGCUCUACAAUAUUCUCCAAAAUAUCCCAACAGAGUGUAAUUGCAGACCGCAGUUCCUAUGAGGUCAGUCAUGUAAUACCCUAACAUCACGAAACGCCCUCAACGCCCCAAUCACGUUCACAUAACUGCUUUUGUUUCAUUAUCAAGGAUGUAGUACGGUAUAUUGUGAAUUAAGGUUUUAAACAAAGUUGUUAUGAACCAGAUAACCAAGGUAAAUAUAUGAAUAAAUAAGGGCAGGGGUUAGUAACACAGAGUAAUGGAGACAAGCGUCUUUUGUAAAGUUCUUUUUCAUGUGCUUUAAUAAAUUAAAAGCUUUUCUGAGUUAACCAUCUGCCUUGCACUGAAUCAUUUACGGAAGCUUCCAGAACGAAUACAGAAUAUCAGAGGAUGUUGCGGUUCAGUUGCUCACAAAACGAAAGCAAAAUUUUUCAACGGUCUGAUCAAGACACGCACUUGUGAAACGAAGCAGGACUGCUUUUUGAAUUUGCUGAACAUAUCCGACGACCUCGGUAAUCUGUCGAACGUAGUAAGGUGGAUCCAAAGAAGACCAUGGGAACAGUCAGUAUUACAAGUGGUUGGACAGAUUUUAUGGAAGUGUUGCGGAACUUGCUGAAGAUGACAGAACGGGAGGAAUCGAAAGAGAGAGAUCUGGAGGAAUCGAAAGAGAGAGAUCUGUUGCGGAACUUGCUGACAAUGUCAGAACGGUUGCAGGAUUUGCUGACAAUGACAGAAUGGGAUUCUAAUUGGCCUUUCUGGUGGUCAUAUACUGUUUUG